GUAGGUGGCAAGCGUUGUCCGGAAUUAUUGGGCGUAAAGCGCGCGCAGGCGGUUCUUUAAGACUGAUGUGAAAGCCCACGGCUCAACCGUGGAGGGUCAUUGGAAACUGGAGAACUUGAGUACAGAAGAGGAAAGCGGAAUUCCACGUGUAGCGGUGAAAUGCGUAGAGAUGUGGAGGAACACCAGUGGCGAAGGCGGCUUUCUGGUCUGUAACUGACGCUGAGGCGCGAAAGCGUGGGGAGCAAACAGGGAUUAGAUACCCUGGUAGUCCACGCCGUAAACGAUGAGUGCUAAGUGUUAGGGGGUUUCCGCCCCCUUAGUGCUGCAGCUAACGCAUUAAGCACUCCGCCUGGGGAGUACGGCCGCAAGGCUG
rnacentral:rRNA from 1 species